GACAGAGGCCCCGAGCGUUAGGCGGAAUCACUGGGCUUAAAGCGUGUGUAGGCGGACCGGUAAGUACCUUGUGAAAUCCCACGGCUCACCCGUGGAACUGCUGGGUAUACUGCCGGUCUUUGGCCAACUAGGGGCGACUGGAACAAGCGGUGGAGCGGUGAAAUGCGUAGAUAUCAUUUGGAACGCCAAUGGUGAAAACAGCUCGCUGGGAAUGAUCUGACGCUGAGACGCGAAAGCCAGGGGAGCGAACGGG
rnacentral:rRNA from 1 species